rnacentral:lncRNA from 1 species
AUGCUCCAGAAAGAACUACAAGAUGCUGGUCUUAUUCCUCUUCCGAAGGAGCAGGUGUCAGUGUUUGGAGAGAGUGUCUGGUGGUUCCUUCCACCUCUGAAGCAGGUCUCUCACAGUAAGAACACCUCUCUUUUUAUAAGUUUUUCCUUCAGCAGCUACAACAGAAUUGGGACCAGCACCCCAACUCUGGGUUUUGCCUGUGCUCACCUCCACUUGCCCUAGAUACAGGAUUCAUUUGAUUUUGACCUAAAUUUUUGGCACCUAGAAGAACAAACCAUUGUAUAGAAAAUAGUGUUAAGUUCCCAGUCCUCUCAGUCACAGAGCCAUUUAUAAUUUUAUUUGCUUUGGUGACCUGUCUCAGCUAGAGCUCUUAUGGAGAAAUAAAAAAAUCCCAGCUCUUAUUGCCA